GCCGUUGUAGCUCAGUUGGUAGAGCACGUCCAUGGUAAGGACGGGGUCACGGGUUCAACUCCCGUCAACGGCUCCA
rnacentral:tRNA from 1 species